rnacentral:rRNA from 1 species
AGAAUCAACGCUGGCGGCGUGCCUAACACAUGCAAGUCGAACGCGAAAGCCCCGCAAGGGGCAAGUAGAGUGGCAAACGGGUGAGUAACACGUGGGUGACCUGCCUUCGAGCGGGGGAUAACGUCCCGAAAGGGACGCUAAUACCGCAUAACAUCCUGCCUUUGAAGAGGUGGAGAUCAAAGCUGGGGAUCGCAAGACCCGGCACUUGAAGAGGGGCCCGCGCCUGAUUAGCUAGUUGGUGGGUAAUGGCCUACCAAGGCAACGAUCAGUA